AUGACGCCGUUGUCAACAGCACGGUGCAGCGAGGUAGGAAGCCGUGUGCAAGGGAUGAAACUGGCAGCGGUGCGCCAUGACAGGCCCCAGCAGAAUUUUGUAUAUGAGGCUUUGCUGUCUGGAUCUAUAUAUAUAUAUAUGUACAUUUUGCAGGUCAAUGCCCUUACUUACCUUAAAGUUGAAGGUAAAUCUUCAGAAACAACUAUUUUUAGGGUUGGUUCAGUCCGAAACCAAUCUGAAUUUUGUAACAAGGUUCAACAUUGCUCUCUAAAUCUAGAUAUUGUGCAGACCAGUGUCAUUAUUAAGUAG
rnacentral:rRNA from 1 species